GCACAAGCGGCGGAGCAUGCGGAUUAAUUCGAUGCAACGCGAAGAACCUUACCAAGGCUUGACAUACACCGGUAACGCCCAGAGAUGGGUGCCCCUUUGUGGUCGGUGGACAGGUGGUGCAUGGUUGUCGUCAGCUCGUGUCGUGAGAUGUUGGGUUAAGUCCCGCAACGAGCGCAACCCUCGUCCUAUGUUGCCAGCGGGUCAUGCCGGGGACUCAUGGGAGACUGCCGGGGUCAACUCGGAGGAAGGUGGGGAUGACGUCAAAUCAUCAUGCCCCUUAUGUCUUGGGCUUCACGCAUGCUACAAUGGCCGGUACAAAGGGCUGCGAUACCGCGAGGUGGAGCGAAUCCCAGAAAGCCUGUCUCAGUCCGGAUUGAAGUCUGCAACUCGACUUCAUGAAGGCGGAAUCGCUAGUAACCGCGAAUCAGCAGGUCGCGGUGAAUACGUUCCCGGGCCUU
rnacentral:rRNA from 1 species